ACUGUUAAUUUAUUAUGCUGAUCUGUUCUGUACGACAUCUAUUGCACGUCUGUCCGUCCUGGAAGAGGGAUCCCUCCUCAGUUGCUCUUCCUGAGGUUUCUACCGUUUUUUUUUCCCGUUAAAGGGUUUUUUUUGGGGAGUUUUUCCUUAUCCGCUGCGAGGGUCAUAAGGACAGAGGGAUGUCGUAUGCUGUAAAGCCCUGUGAGGCAAAUUGUGAUUUGUGAUAUUGGGCUUUAUAAAUAAAAUUGAUUGAUUGAU